rnacentral:tRNA from 1 species
UUUGGUAGAGUUCUAGGAAUAUAUGUGUUACAAGCAUAAGGAUUUAAUUUUUAUUUAAAUACCAAAA